rnacentral:rRNA from 1 species
GAUGAACGCUGGCGGCGUGCUUAACACAUGCAAGUCGAACGGAAAGGCCCAAGCUUGCUUGGGUACUCGAGUGGCGAACGGGUGAGUAACACGUGGGUGAUCUGCCCUGCACUUCGGGAUAAGCCUGGGAAACUGGGUCUAAUACCGGAUAGGACCACAUUUUGGAUGGUGUGGUGGAAAGUUUUUCGGUGUGGGAUGAGCUCGCGGCCUAUCAGCUUGUUGGUGGGGUAAUGGCCUACCAAGGCGUCGACGGGUAGCCGGCCUGAGAGUGUGUACGGCCACAUUGGGACUGGGAUACGGCCCAGACUCCUACGGGAGGCAGCAGUGGGGAAUAUUGCAAAAUGGGCGCAAGCCUGAUGCAGCGACGCCGCGUGGGGGAUGACGACCUUCGGGUUGUAAACUCCUUUCGCUAGGGACGAAGCGUUAUGUGACGGUACCUGGAGAAGAAGCACCGGCUAACUACGUG